CCCACUAACCUUCGACGGGUACGGGCCUUGAGAGAGGUUGCCCGGAGUUGGACUCUGAGACACGAGUCCAGGCCCUACGGGGUGCAGCAGGCGCGAAAACUUCACAAUGUGGGAAACCACGAUGAGGGGAUUCCAAGUGCUAACACAUUGUGUUAGCUGUUCACCUGCCUAAAAAGCUGGUGAAGUAAGGGCCGGGUAAGACGGGUGCCAGCCGCCGCGGUAAUACCUGCGGCCCGAGUGGUGGCCGUUAUUAUUGAGCCUAAAGCGUCCGUAGCCGGUUCAGUAAAUUUCUGGGUAAAUCGGGCAGCUUAACUGUCCGAAUUCCGGAAAGACUGCUGAACUUGGGACCGGGGGAGGUUGGAGGUACUCCUGGGGUAGGGGUGAAAUCCUGUAAUCCUGGGGGGACCACCAGUGGCGAAGGCGUCCAACCAAAACGGCUCCGACGGUAAGGGACGAAGCCCUGGGGCGCAAACGGGAUUAGAUACCCCGGUAGUCCAGGGUGUAAACGCUGCAGGCUUGGUGUUGGGGGUCCUACGAGGGCGCCCAGUGCCGGAGAGAAGUUGUUAAGCCUGCCGCUUGGGGAGUACGUCCGCAAGGAUGAAACUUAAAGGAAUUGGCGGGGGAGCACAAGGGCGAAUCGCGCCGCUAUG
rnacentral:rRNA from 1 species